UACGUAGGGGGCAAGCGUUGUCCGGAUUUAUUGGGCGUAAAGAGCGUGUAGGCGGCCUGACAGGUCUGCUGUGAAAACUCGAGGCUCAACCUCGAGAUGUCGGCGGAAACCGUCUGGCUAGAGUCCGGAAGAGGAGAGUGGAAUCCCUGGUGUAGCGGUGAAAUGCGCAGAUAUCAGGAAGAACACCUAUGGCGAAGGCAGCUCUCUGGGACGGUACUGACGCUGAGACGCGAAAGCGUGGGGAGCGAACAGG
rnacentral:rRNA from 1 species